rnacentral:rRNA from 1 species
GAUGAACGCUGGCGGUAUGCCUAAUACAUGCAAGUCGUGCGGAAAGGCCUCUUCGGAGGUACUCGAGCGGCGGACGGCAGAGUAACGCGUAGGAACAUACCCCAAACUGAGGGAUAACUGCUCGAAAGAGUAGCUAAUACCGCAUGUGGUCUUCGGACUAAAGCUUCGGCGGUUUGGGAAUGGCCUGCGUUCGAUUAGCUAGUUGGUGAGGUAAUUGCUCACCAAGGCGACGAUCGAUAGCUGGUCUGAGAGGAUGAUCAGCCUGACUGGAACUGAGACACGGUCCAGACUCCUACGGGAGGCAGCAGUAGGGAAUUUUCCACAAUGGGCGAAAGCCUGAUGGAGCAAUACCGCGUGCAGGAUGAAGGCCCUCGGGUCGUAAACUGCUUUUAUGUGAGAAGAAUUUGACGGUAACACAUGAAUAAGGGUCGGCUAACUACGUGCCAGCAGCCGCGGUAAU